CUUAAGCCAAAUGAGAUGAUGACGUUCUCUUCUUGAAAAAUAGAAAAUAACGACUUGGGCGGUUUCUUUACGAAGGUGGCGAGAUUGUAAUAGGUUUUGCACCCUCUGUUUAGGGAUGUGCACUAAUUUUCGUCUCUUCUCUUCCCCUCCUCCUCCCCUGGCUGGCCGGGGAAUGGAGGAGGAGCACUAGGACGAGGAGGUGAAGGGAGGCGGAGGGAGAGACGACUCGAGCACAAGGAGGCAAGAGACAAGAAGCAGAGACGCAGGAACAGAAAGGCAGCCAGAUGGUCGAUGCUGUGAAGAGGAGGAAGAUGACUGCAGGAGGCGGUGUGUGUGUGUUGGGGAAGGAGACGACGACACCAACCUCACACACAGCUGGUUAAGGCCUGCAAGAGAGCCUAGUCAAUGAAGAGGAAAAGAAGAAGAAAGAAUAAAGAAGACAAGAAGAAAGAAGGAAGAAGAGGCAAAACAGGAGGAGGGGAUUUUUUUUCUGUCUAUACCUGAAGUGUGAUGAAUUUACUAAGGGUAUAUUUAAGCCUGGUAUAACGUACUUUAAGGUAUAUUUAAUGGUACAAGUGUGUAGCCUACUUUUGCCUGGAGUUGGAGACGGUAAAAUGCUCUCCGACUCCUUUAUUGUGGUGCUGUGUGGUUUGUUUACUGUGGUGAGAUGUGGUUCAUUUACUGUGGUGCGGUGUGGUUCGUUAAUUAAGGUGAGGUGUGGUUCGUUUAUUGUGGUGCGGUAUGGUUCGUUAAUUAAUGUGAGGUGUGGUUUAUUUAUUGUGGUGCGGUGUGGUUCGUUAAUUAAGGUGAGGUUUGGUUCGUUUAUUGUAGUGCGGUAUGGUUCGUU